AGUUCCUUUAAAACAGUCCCGUGAGGCUGGCAAGGAAGUAGGGCGCUGUUUGCCCUGCUUGUCGAACGAAGCGAAAAGCUUCUUGCCUAUGCCCGCCUCACGCGGCAGCUUGGCAAGAAGCUUUUUUUGU
rfam:Brevibacillus borstelensis AK1 seq_num_001, whole genome shotgun sequence.